UACGUAGGGGGGCAGCGUUGUCCGGAUUUAUUGGGCGUAAAGAGCGUGUAGGCGGCCAGGUAGGUCUGGUGUGAAAACUCGAGGCUUAACCUUGAGAUGUCAUCGGAAACCAUUUGGCUAGAGUCCGGAAGAGGAAAGUGGAAUUCCUGGUGUAGCGGUGAAAUGCGCAGAUAUCAGGAAGAACACCAAUGGCGAAAGCAGCUUUCUGGGACGGUACUGACGCUGAGACGCGAAAGCGUGGGGAGCGAACAGG
rnacentral:rRNA from 1 species